CACGCGCCGACGAGCCCCUCCUGCAGGCUCGCUGUUGUUGGUGGUGGUUGGGGCUGUUUCUCGCGUGUAGCGACUGAGAGUUCCAAGCCCAUGACCUUCCAAGCAACCCCAGGCAGGACGCCUCAGGGACUGGGACCUGGGGCGGCCUCGGCCAGGUUCCCCAACUUGGUCCCAGCACCAGGCCCCGCGGAAGCCAAUGAAGAGGAAGAUGAGGAGGAGGAAGGACCAGCCGAGAUCCAUCUCUGUGUGUUAUGGAAUUCAGGAUACCUGGGCAUUGCCUACUAUGACACUAGUGACUCCAUUGUUCACUUCAUGCCAGAUGCCCCAGACCAUGAGAGCCUCAAGCUUCUUCAAAGAGUUGUGGAUGAAAUUAAUCCCCGGUCUGUUGUUACCAGUGCCAAACAGGAUGAGAAUAUGACUCGUUUUCUAGGGAAGCUUGCCUCCCAGGAGCACAGAGAGCCAAAGAGACCUGAAAUCAUACUUUUGCCAAGUGUGGAUUUUGGUCUGGAGAUAAGCAAACAACGUCUCCUUUCUGGAAACUACUCCUUUGUCCCGGAGUCCAUGACUGCCACUGAAAAAAUCCUUUUCCUCUCCUCCAUUAUUCCCUUUGACUGCCUUCUCACGGUCCGGGCACUUGGAGGACUGCUCAAGUUCCUGGGUCGAAGAAGAAUUGGAGUUGAACUGGAAGACUAUAAUGUCAGCAUCCCCAUCCUGGGCUUUAAGAAGUUUGUGUUGACCCAUCUUGUGAGCAUAGAUCAAGACACUUACAGUGUUUUACAGAUUUUUAAGAGUGAGGCUCACCCCUCAGUAUACAAAGUGGCCAGUGGACUGAAGGAGGGGCUUAGCCUUUUUGGAAUCCUCAACAGAUGCCGCUGUAAGUGGGGAGAGAAACUACUCAGGCUCUGGUUCACACGCCCAACUCAGGACCUGGGAGAACUCAAUUCCCGUUUGGAUGUCAUUCAAUUUUUUUUGCUGCCCCAGAAUCUGGACAUGGCUCAGAUGUUGCAUCGGCUUAUGAGUCACAUCAAGAAUGUGCCUCUGAUUCUGAAACGCAUGAAGUUGUCCCACACCAAGGUCAGUGACUGGCAGGUUCUGUACAAGACUGUGUACAGUGCCUUGGGACUAAGGGAUGCUUGCCGCUCCCUGCCCCAGUCCAUUCAGCUUUUUCGGGACAUUGCCCAAGAAUUCUCUGAUGACCUGCAUCACAUUGCCAGCCUCAUUGGCAAAGUGGUGGACUUUGAGGGCAGUCUUGCUGAAAAUCGUUUCACAGUUCUCCCCAAUGUAGACCCUGAAAUUGAUGAGAAAAAACGAAGGCUGAUGGGUCUUCCCAGUUUCCUCACUGAAGUUGCUCGGAAGGAGCUGGAGAAUCUGGACUCCCGUAUUCCAUCAUGCAGUGUCAUCUACAUCCCUCUGAUUGGCUUCCUUCUUUCUAUUCCCCGCCUUCCUUCUAUGGUAGAGGCUGGUGACUUUGAAAUUGAGGGACUGGAUUUCAUGUUUCUCUCAGAGGAGAAGCUGCACUAUCGCAGUGCUCGAACCAAGGAGCUGGAUGCAUUGCUUGGGGACCUGCACUGUGAGAUCCGGGACCAGGAGACCCUAUUGAUGUACCAGCUACAGUGCCAGGUGCUGGCGAGGGCAGCUGUCUUGACCCGAGUAUUAGACCUUGCCUCCCGCCUGGAUGCCCUGCUGGCUCUUGCCAGUGCUGCCCGGGACUAUGGCUACUCAAGGCCCCAUUAUUCCCCCCAGCUCCAUGGGGUACGAAUCCAUAAUGGCAGACAUCCUCUGAUGGAACUAUGUGCCCGAACCUUUGUGCCCAAUUCUGCAGAAUGUGGUGGGGACAAAGGCAAGGUCAAAGUCGUCACUGGACCCAAUUCCUCAGGAAAGAGCAUAUACCUUAAACAGGUAGGCUUGAUCACGUUCAUGGCCCUGGUGGGCAGCUUUGUACCAGCAGAGGAGGCUGAAAUUGGGGCAGUAGAUGCCAUCUUCACCCGAAUUCAUAGCUGUGAAUCCAUCUCCCUUGGCCUCUCCACCUUCAUGAUCGACCUCAACCAGCAGGUGGCAAAAGCAGUGAAUAAUGCCACUGAGCGAUCUCUGGUUCUUAUUGAUGAAUUCGGAAAGGGAACCAACACGGUGGAUGGGCUUGCACUUUUGGCUGCUGUGCUCCGACACUGGUUGGUGCUUGGACCCAUGUGCCCCCACAUCUUUGUGGCCACCAACUUUCUGAGUCUUGUUCAACUACAGCUGUUGCCACAAGGGCCCCUGGUGCAGUAUUUGACCAUGGAGACCUGUGAGGAUGGGAACGACCUUGUCUUCUUCUAUCAGGUUUGCGGAGGAGUUGCCAAUGCCAGCUAUGCCUCCCACACGGCUGCCCAGGCAGGGCUUCCUGAAAAACUCAUUGCUCGUGGCAAAGAGAUCUCGGACUUGAUCCGCAAUGGAAAACCUAUCAAGCCUGUGAAGGAGUUGUUAAAGGAGAACCAAAUGCAAAAUUGCCAGACAUUAGUGGACAAGUUUCUGAAACUGGAUUUGGAAGAUCCCAGCCUGGACUUGGACAUUUUCAUGAGUCAGGAAGUGUUGCCUGCUGCCACCACCAUCCUCUGAGUCCUUCCUCUGCCCUCCCCAACUACUUGAGACCCAGGGGCUGCAAUGUCUUUUUGGUUUUCUUAUCUCCUUUAGACCCAGAGUUCUCAAUUUCUGUAGAAAUUUUGUUUCAUGUUAGGAAUAAAGUUUAUUUUGGAUAAUGUUAUUGUUUCCUUAGGCAAUCCAAAACAGAACAGGAGAAUAGGACAGAGAUGAAGCACCAAGCAGAAUUCCACAGAGGAACCUGCCCUACCUCACUAAAAGUACAUUGACACUGCUAUGGGAAGACCCUCAGAUUCUUCCCCAGGAGACUUCUUGAGAAAAAGCUACUUAAGAAAGGCCCUGUGAAAACAGAAUAAAGAAAUGAAAGAGGGGUCCAAGAGAGAUGGUUUUCCUCCUUAUCUAUGAAUACCUCAGCCUUAGAGAGACACCACAGGAAGGGGCCAGAGAGGCAGAAUGGGUGUGAGGGAGGGGUAGAGGGGAGGGACCAGCUCAGGCCACAGCAGAGGGAGUGGCUACACCUUCCUCACCUCAGAGCCAUGGGGAGCCAGGGUUCUGGUGGGCAGCCCCUGGCACAGGCUCCCUACACAGUUCUGCUGCUGCCACUGGGAACAAGCCGAGAAGACCCUGGGGCCCAGAGCUUUUUUCUUUGGCUGCAGAGGAUGCAGGCUCUGGAGAGAGAGCAGGAUGCCCUGUGGCAGGGCCUGGAGCUGCUGGAACAUGGCCGGGCCUGGUUUGAAGACCAUCUGAGGGAGGCACAGCAACAGCAGCUGCAUCUGGGAGCCCUUGGUGAGAAUUUUCUAACAGAUUUACACUCAGAGCCUGGCGGCCCCCAGUUAGCCCAAAUU